rnacentral:lncRNA from 1 species
UCCUUUUAUAUUCAUAAAAUCCCUACUUCAAACAAGCAAAAGUCACGGUUCAUCACUCAAUGACCACCUUUCAACUUUCUAUCUAAACGAUAUUUUCAAGAUCGUAUCUAUGAACCUAUCUACGCAUCCUAUCACACACACAAUCGUACUUCAGUGCCAUUCAAAAAAACAAAAUACGGUACUUAAGUAACCAGCUAAAUUCAUAUCACACACUCAAAGAUAAGCAACAAGAGUAAACGAUUUUUAGCAGAAAAAGUAAUAACAAUGAUAUAUUCAGUUUAAUUGCAAAUCGAGCAUGAAUAAUAAAAAAUUGCGAUUCUAGAUUGAAAAACGGAAGGAAAUAGAGUGGGGAAAAUGUAAUCAAACCCUAGAACUGCUCCAAUACUUCUUGUCCCAAGGUCCAUUGUAGAGUGAACCGAUUGAGAUAACUUCGAGGUUAUCGUCAUUUUCCGGUUCGGAAUCUGUAGGUGCGGCGGUUCUAGUCCUCACCAUCGAAGAAGAAGAAGAAGAGAGAGAAAAUGGGAGA